GACGAACGUUGGCGGCGUGCUUAACACAUGCAAGUCGAACGGAAAGGCCCUGCUUUUGUGGGGUGCUCGAGUGGCGAACGGGUGAGUAACACGUGAGUAACCUGCCCUUGACUUUGGGAUAACUUCAGGAAACUGGGGCUAAUACCGGAUAGGAGCUCCUGCUGCAUGGUGGGGGUUGGAAAGUUUCGGCGGUUGGGGAUGGACUCGCGGCUUAUCAGCUUGUUGGUGGGGUAGUGGCUUACCAAGGCUUUGACGGGUAGCCGGCCUGAGAGGGUGACCGGCCACAUUGGGACUGAGAUACGGCCCAGACUCCUACGGGAGGCAGCAGUGGGGAAUAUUGCACAAUGGGCGGAAGCCUGAUGCAGCAACGCCGCGUGCGGGAUGACGGCCUUCGGGUUGUAAACCGCUUUCGCCUGUGACGAAGCGUGAGUGACGGUAAUGGGUAAAGAAGCACCGGCUAACUACGUGCCAGCAGCCGCGGUGAUACGUAGGGUGCGAGCGUUGUCCGGAUUUAUUGGGCGUAAAGGGCUCGUAGGUGGUUGAUCGCGUCGGAAGUGUAAUCUUGGGGCUUAACCCUGAGCGUGCUUUCGAUACGGGUUGACUUGAGGAAGGUAGGGGAGAAUGGAAUUCCUGGUGGAGCGGUGGAAUGCGCAGAUAUCAGGAGGAACACCAGUGGCGAAGGCGGUUCUCUGGGCCUUUCCUGACGCUGAGGAGCGAAAGCGUGGGGAGCGAACAGGCUUAGAUACCCUGGUAGUCCACGCUGUAAACGGUGGGUACUAGGUGUGGGGUCCAUUCCACGGGUUCCGUGCCGUAGCUAACGCUUUAAGUACCCCGCCUGGGGAGUACGGCCGCAAGGCUAAAACUCAAAGGAAUUGACGGGGCCCCGCACAAGCGGCGGAGCAUGCGGAUUAAUUCGAUGCAACGCGUAGAACCUUACCUGGGUUUGACAUGGAUCGGGAGUGCUCAGAGAUGGGUGUGCCUCUUUUGGGGUCGGUUCACAGGUGGUGCAUGGCUGUCGUUAGCUCGUGUCGUGAGAUGUUGGGUUAAGUCCCGCAACGAGCGCAACCCUUGUUCACUGUUGCCAGCACGUUAUGGUGGGGACUCAGUGGAGACCGCCGGGGUCAACUCGGAGGAAGGUGGGGAUGACGUCAAGUCAUCAUGCCCCUUAUGUCCAGGGCUUCACGCAUGCUACAAUGGCUGGUACAGAGAGUGGCGAGCCUGUGAGGGUGAGCGAAUCUCGGAAAGCCGGUCUCAGUUCGGAUUGGGGUCUGCAACUCGACCUCAUGAAGUCGGAGUCGCUAGUAAUCGCAGAUCAGCAACGCUGCGGUGAAUACGUUCCCGGGGCU
rnacentral:rRNA from 1 species